rnacentral:pre_miRNA from 1 species
GAAGUAUUCCCUUCGUCCCAAAAUUCUCUGUCUUAGAUUUGUCUAGAUAUGAAUGUAUCUAGUCAUGUUUUAGUAUUUUAAUACAUCUUUUUCUAAACAAGCCUAAGACAAGAAUUUUAGGACAGAGAAAGUAGAAG